UACAGAGGUCUCAAGCGUUUGUUCGGAUUCAUUGGGCGUAAAGGGUGCGUAGGUGGCGGGGUAAGUCAGAUGUGAAAUCUCGGAGCUCAACUCCGAAACUGCAUUUGAUACUGCCUUGCUUGAGUACUGGAGAGGAGAUUGGAAUUUACGGUGUAGCAGUGAAAUGCGUAGAUAUCGUAAGGAAGACCAGUGGCGAAGGACGACUUACUGGACACAUAUUGACGCUGAGGUGCGAAAGCGUGGGGAGCAAACAGG
rnacentral:rRNA from 1 species